rnacentral:rRNA from 1 species
AUUGAACGCUGGCGGCAGGCCUAACACAUGCCAGUCGAACGGUAACAGGAAGAAGCUUGCUUCUUUGCUGACGAGUGGCGGACGGGUGAGUAAUGUCUGGGAAACUGCCUGAUGGAGGGGGAUAACUACUGGAAACGGUAGCUAAUACCGCAUAAUGUCGCAAGACCAAAGAGGGGGACCUUCGGGCCUCUUGCCAUCGGAUGUGCCCAGAUGGGAUUAGCUAGUAGGUGGGGUAACGGCUCACCUAGGCGACGAUCCCUAGCUGGUCUGAGAGGAUGACCGGCCACACUGGAACUGAGACACGGUCCAGACUCCUACGGGAGGCAGCAGUGGGGAAUAUUGCACAAUGGGCGCAAGCCUGAUGCAGCUAUGCCGCGUGUAUGAAGAAGGCCUUCGGGUUGUAAAGUACUUUCAGCGGGGAGGAAGGGAGUAAAGUUAAUACCUUUGCUCAUUGACGUUACCCGCAGAAGAAGCACCGGCUAACUCCGUG